GAUGAACGCUGGCGGCGUGCCUAAUACAUGCAAGUCGAGCGAACAGACGAGGAGCUUGCUCCUCUGACGUUAGCGGCGGACGGGUGAGUAACACGUGGAUAACCUACCUAUAAGACUGGGAUAACUUCGUGAAACCGGAGCUAAUACCGGAUAAUAUAUUCAACCGCAUGGUUCAAUAGUGAAAGACGGUUUUGCUGUCACUUAUAGAUGGUUCCGCGCCGCAUUAGCUAGUUGGUAAGGUAACGGCUUACCAAGGCAACGAUGCGUAGCCGACCUGAGAGGGUGAUCGGCCACACUGGAACUGAGACACGGUCCAGACUCCUACGGGAGGCAGCAGUAGGGAAUCUUCCGCAAUGGGCGAAAGCCUGACGGAGCAACGCCGCGUGAGUGAUGAAGGUCUUCGGAUCGUAAAACUCUGUUAUUAGGGAAGAACAAAUGUAUAAGUAACUAUGCACGUCUUGACGGUACCUAAUCAGAAAGCAACGGCUAACUACGUG
rnacentral:rRNA from 1 species